GGGCAAUCUGAUUGAGAUACCUGUCACUCAGCUGAUGGCCAGGGCUGAUGUGACUGCUCUGGCCAGCUAGGCUAGUGUCCCUUUCUUCC
rnacentral:snRNA from 1 species